rnacentral:rRNA from 1 species
UACGGAGGGAGCUAGCGUUGUUCGGAAUUACUGGGCGUAAAGCGCGCGUAGGCGGCUUUGUAAGUUAGAGGUGAAAGCCCGGGGCUCAACCCCGGAAUUGCCUUUAAGACUGCAUCGCUAGAAUCCAGGAGAGGUGAGUGGAAUUCCGAGUGUAGAGGUGAAAUUCGUAGAUAUUCGCAAGAACACCAGUGGCGAAGGCGGCUCACUGGCCCGAUACUGACGCUGAGGCACGAAAGCGUGGGGAGCAAACAGG